rnacentral:rRNA from 1 species
UACGUAGGGACCGAGCGUUGUCCGGAAUCAUUGGGCGUAAAGAGCGUGUAGGCGGCCACUUAAGUCCUGCGUGAAAUCUUGCGGCUCAACCGCAAGCGGUCGUGGGAAACUGGGUGGCUAGAGUGCGGGAGAGGAGAGUGGAAUUCCUGGUGUAGCGGUGGAAUGCGCAGAUAUCAGGAAGAACACCCGUGGCGAAGGCGGUUCUCUGGGACGGUACUGACGCUGAGACGCGAAAGCGUGGGGAGCGAACAGG